UGAGUAACACGUGAGCAACCUACCCUCAACUUUGGGAUAAGCCUCGGAAACGGGGUCUAAUACCGGAUAAUACUGGCUACCUCAUGGUGGUUGGUUGAAAGUUCUGGCGGUUGGGGAUGGGCUCGCGGCCUAUCAGCUUGUUGGUGGGGUAAUGGCCUACCAAGGCGUCGACGGGUAGCCGGCCUGAGAGGGCGACCGGCCACACUGGGACUGAGACACGGCCCAGACUCCUACGGGAGGCAGCAGUGGGGAAUAUUGCGCAAUGGACGAAAGUCUGACGCAGCAACGCCGCGUGAGGGAUGACGGCCUUCGGGUUGUAAACCUCUUUCAGCAGGGACGAAGCGAGAGUGACGGUACCUGCAGAAGAAGGACCGGCCAACUACGUGCCAGCAGCCGCGGUAAUACGUAGGGUCCGAGCGUUGUCCGGAAUUAUUGGGCGUAAAGGGCUCGUAGGCGGUUCGUCACGUCGGGAGUGAAAACUCGGGGCUUAACCCCGAGCCUGCUUCCGAUACGGGCAGACU
rnacentral:rRNA from 1 species